UGGUCCAAAGGCUGCCAGAGACCAGCUCAGGACACGAAGAGAAACACAGUGUGGAUGAACAUUGGCCUGCACUGAUCCAGAAAGUGGACACUAUGGCGUCUGUCAUAGAGCUGCUUUUGGAAACACUGGCUGCUUUGAGAGAAGAUGAGCUCAAAAAUUUCAAGUUGGUCCUCUUGC